rnacentral:rRNA from 1 species
AGCGAACGCUGGCGGCAGGCCUAACACAUGCAAGUCGAACGAACCUUUCGGGGUUAGUGGCGGACGGGUGUGUAACACGUGGGAACGUGCCUUUAGGUUCGGAAUAACUCAGGGACACUUGUUCUAAUACCGAAUGUGCCCUUCGGGGGAAAGAUUAAUCGCCUUUAGAGCGGCCCGCGUCUGAUUAGCUAGUUGGUUGAGGUAAUGGCUCACCAAGGCGACGAUCAGUAGCUGGUCUGAGAGGAUGAUCAGCCACAUUGGGACUGAGACACGGCCCAAACUCCUACGGGAGGCAGCAGUGGGGAAUCUUGCGCAAUGGGCGAAAGCCUGACGCAGCCAUGCCGCGUGAAUGAUGAAGGUCUUAGGAUUGUAAAAUUCUUUCACCGGGGAAGAUAAUGACGGUACCCGGAGAAGAAGCCCCGGCUAACUUCGUG